UAGGGAAUCUUCGGCAAUGGACGAAAGUCUGACCGAGCAACGCCGCGUGAGUGAAGAAGGUUUUCGGAUCGUAAAACUCUUUUGUUAGAGAAGAACAAGGACGUUAGUAACUGAACGUCCCCUGACGGUAUCUAACCAGAAAGCCACGGCUAACUACGUGCCAGCAGCCGCGGUAAUACGUAGGUGGCAAGCGUUGUCCGGAUUUAUUGGGCGUAAAGCGAGCGCAGGCGGUUUCUUAAGUCUGAUGUGAAAGCCCCCGGCUCAACCGGGGAGGGUCAUUGGAAACUGGGAGACUUGAGUGAAGAGGAGGAGAGUGGAAUUCCGUGUGUAGCGGUGAGAUGCGUAGAUAUAUGGAGGAACACCAGUGGCGAAGGCGGCUCUAUGGUCUGUAACUGACGCUGAGGCUCGAAAGCGUGGGGAGCAAACAGG
rnacentral:rRNA from 1 species